AAACCAACAGGGAUUGCCCUAGUAACGGCGAGUGAAGCGGCAACAGCUCAAAUUUGAAAGCUAGCCUUCGGGUUCGCAUUGUAAUUUGUAGAGGAUGCUUUGGGUGAAACGCCAGUCUAAGUUCCUUGGAACAGGACGUCAUAGAGGGUGAGA
rnacentral:rRNA from 1 species